UAAGGAAGUGGAGACAAAGUUUCGGCUCCUCUCUGAGCCUUUAAAAACUCUUGAUAAAGGCUCACAAAGGAGCCGAAAAGUUGUCUUCACUUCCUU